GCCCAGUUGGUUAAGUGUCCAACUCCUGAUUUGGGCUCAGGUGAUGAUCUCAUGGUUUGUGGGUUUGAGCCCCACUUUGGGCU
rnacentral:tRNA from 1 species